rnacentral:rRNA from 1 species
AGAGUUUGAUCCUGGCUCAGAAUCAACGCUGGCGGCGCGCUUAACACAUGCAAGUCGAACGAGAAAGGGAGCAAUCCUGAGUAAAGUGGCGCACUGGUGAGUAACACGUGGGUAAUUUACCUUCUUGUGGGGAAUAACCCUGGGAAACUAGGGCUAAUACCGCAUACGUCCGAGAGGAGAAAGCCGCAAGGCGCAGGAAGAGAAGCCCGCGGCCGAUUAGCUAGUUGGUGAGGUAAUGGCUCACCAAGGCGACGAUCGGUAGCCGGCCUGAGAGGGCACACGGCCACACUGGCACUGAAACACGGGCCAGACUCCUACGGGAGGCAGCAGUGGGGAAUCUUGCACAAAUGGGGGAAACCCUGAUGCAGCGACGCCGCGUGAUCAAUGAAGCCCUUCGGGGUGUAAAGUU